rnacentral:rRNA from 1 species
UACGAAGGGGGCUAGCGUUGCUCGGAAUCACUGGGCGUAAAGCGUGCGCAGGCGGUUUUGUAAGACAGAGGUGAAAUCCCCGGGCUCAACCUGGGAACUGCCUUUGUGACUGCAAGGCUUGAGUGCGGCAGAGGGGGAUGGAAUUCCGCGUGUAGCAGUGAAAUGCGUAGAUAUGCGGAGGAACACCGAUGGCGAAGGCAAUCCCCUGGGCCUGCACUGACGCUCAUGCACGAAAGCGUGGGGAGCAAACAGG